rnacentral:rRNA from 1 species
UGGGGAAUAUUGCACAAUGGGCGCAAGCCUGAUGCAGCAACGCCGCGUGAACGAUGAAGGUCUUCGGAUCGUAAAGUUUUGUUGCAGGGGAAGAUAAUGACGGUAUCCUGUGAGGAAGCCCCGGCUAACUACGUGCCAGCAGCCGCGGUAAUACGUAGGGGGCUAGCGUUAUCCGGAUUUACUGGGCGUAAGGGGUGCGUAGGUGGUCUUUCAAGUCGGUGGUUAAAGGAUACGGCUCAACCGUAGUUAGCCUCCGAAACUGGAAGACUUGAGUGCGGGAGAGGAAAGUGGAAUUCCCAGUGUAGCGAUGAAAUGCGUAGAUAUUGGGAGGAACACCAGUAGCGAAGGCGGCUUUCUGGACUGCAACUGACACUGAGGCACGAAAGCGUGGGUAGCAAACAGG